rnacentral:rRNA from 1 species
UACGGAGGGUGCUAGCGUUGUUCGGAAUUACUGGGCGUAAAGCGCGCGUAGGCGGCUUAGUAAGUUGGGAGUGAAAUCCCGGGGCUUAACCCCGGAAUUGCUUUCAAAACUGCUAUAGCUAGAGUGUGGUAGGGGACAGUGGAAUUCUUAGUGUAGGGGUGAAAUCCGUAGAUAUUAAGAGGAACACCAGAGGCGAAGGCGACUGUCUGGGCCAUUACUGACGCUAAGGCGCGAAAGCGUGGGGAGCAAA